GUUAAUGCCAUGGAGAGCAAGCACAAUGGACUGGAUCUCCAAGCAUGCUCCUUCCUCACUGCCCCAACUACAGAACAAAAUACCUGCACAAAAGAGUAACAUGGCAUUUUUCUGGCUUCUAAACUUGGCCUCCUCAUCACAAGCAAGUGAAGUUUGGGCAUGUAACCCAAAUGCACCUGAAAGAGAACUAAACCACAACCCAGUUCUGCUGCUGUGCAAUAACAACAGACUUGUGAUGACUUGAGUAGAGCCAUGCCGAUGAGAAAUCUGGUCUGUUAGACUUCAUACCACAAGCACACCUGCUUCAGAGUCAUAUGGGUGCCAACUGGUUUGUCUGCAGAAAUUCUAAAGCCACCACCUUCAUUCAUUCCACUUUUUUCCACCCCUGGUCCCCAUCCUACCACAAGCUUCUGAGGAAAAGACAUCACACCAGCAUCUUUCCUGCUUUUUCAGCUACAAACACAGGGAGCAUCACACAGUUCUGCCAGGCCACAAGCUGGGGC